UACGUAGGGUGCAAGCGUUGUCCGGAAUUAUUGGGCGUAAAGAGCUCGUAGGCGGUCUGUCGCGUCGGCUGUGAAAACCCGGGGCUCAACCCCGGGCCUGCAGUCGAUACGGGCAGACUAGAGUGCGGUAGGGGAGACUGGAAUUCCUGGUGUAGCGGUGAAAUACGCAGAUAUCAGGAGGAACACCGGUGGCGAAGGCGGGUCUCUGGGCCGUUACUGACGCUGAGGAGCGAAAGCGUGGGGAGCGAACAGG
rnacentral:rRNA from 1 species